rnacentral:lncRNA from 1 species
AGGUCUCAAAAAAUAAAAUCUUAACGCAGGAGCGUGUAGGGAACUGUGGGCUGGCGUGUGCAAGACCCUGCGUUUUAUCCCUGGCUCUGUGGAAAGAGAUCAUGUUCCAAGUUCGUUGUAGGAAGUACUGGGAGGUUCCAGAAGAAAGAUUUCCCCCCACCCUGAGACAGGAUGCCACUGUGUAGCCCAGUGUAGUGAACACUUGGAAUACAAAAUAAAGAUGGUGGAAUGAGACAUUCCGUCUCCAGUUCCUAACAUCAGAAGUGAGCACCUGUGUGUCACCAGCAACAUAUUGGAGGCCAGCUGCCUACACCAAUCAGAAACAGGGACCACAAAGUCUGCAGGGGUGAGAUAGGCCUUUUCAGUGUCUACGAUUUCAUCAUGGACAUUACUGUCGAUUUCUCUUCCUGCCCCUGUAUGUGCGGGUCUAUCGCCAUCUCGCCAUCUCCGGCUCCUGUGUUAUGAAGACAGUCUCAUGCAGCCCAGACCAAUCUCAAAUUGACUAGGUAAACUGAGGCUGGCCUUGAACCAGUCCCUCCUGCCUCUAUCUCCUGAGAGCUGGGUAACAGCUUCUGGAGCCUCACCCAGCUUCGCUUUCACCACCCCAGCCAAUCCUGUGACUCCUCUUCAUAGCGAGAGCAUUGACACUUAUGUUCUGAGUGUGAAAAAAAAAAAAAAAUCACAUAGUACUUCCUACUAGAACCUUGCCCGGGUCAACUGAAGUGUGUGUGUUUGCUUACCAGUCUGCAGGUUUGCUUAAGUUUGUUUAUUUUAGAGACCAGGUCUUGCUCUGUUGCCUAAGCCAACUUGAAACUCUUGGGCUCCAACAGUUCUCCUGCUCCAUCUUUCUAGAGCAGCUGGGACUCUAGGCAUGCUCCACUACAGCUGACUGAAGCUUGAAUGAAUGAAUGAAUGAAUGAAUGAGUUACUACCUCUGAGGGACCCUCCUCAUGGCCUUCUCAACUCUGUACUUUAAUUAGUUGCUUAGAGGUGUCUCCAUGCCUCAGUUUCCCCAUCUGUAAUAGUAAACGAGUUCACAGGCGUGGUCUGUGCUUGGAGCAAGAACAAAACCAUCCUGGCCUAUACUCUCUAGGGACUCUACAGAGCCCAUCCCUUUGGCUAUCAGACUGUUGAGAUAAAGGUUCCCCCAGGAAUCGGAAUCCCCUCCGACAGGAGUCUCAUGCUCAGAGAAGAAAAAAAGCUGAAGCCUGCUGACAGCCAGAGAGGGUACUUGUCUGUCAGGGAAAAAUUCUACACAGGACAGACUGGAGCCCAGACUGGUCUGGGUCAGUGACACACGGCACAGCACACGGUGGGACAACCUGGCUGUGCAUCUCUCUCAAACCUCAACCUCAGUCUGAAGAUGGAUUGGGGGGGGGGGUCCCUGGACCUCAUUACUUGUCACCCUUCUCACUGUGGCCACAGCGAAGCGAAUACAUCUCUCUGCUUUUCA